GGCCACUAUUACUGGGCUUAAAGCGUUCGUAGCUGGUCUGUUAAGUCUCUGGGGAAAUCUACUGGCUUAACCAAUAGGCGUCUCAGGGAUACUGGCAGACUAGGGACCGGGAGAGGUGAGAGGUACUCCAGGGGUAGGAGUGAAAUCCUGUAAUCCUUGGGGGACCACCUGUGGCGAAGGCGUCUCACCAGAACGGCUCCGACAGUGAGGGACGAAAGCUGGGGGAGCAAACCGGAUUAGAUACCCGGGUAGUCCCAGCCGUAAACGAUGCGCGUUAGGUGUAUCGGUGACCACGAGUCACCGAGGUGCCGAAGAGAAAUCGUGAAACGUGCCGCCUGGGAAGUACGGUCGCAAGGCUGAAACUUAAAGGAAUUGGCGGGGGAGCACCACAACAGGUGGAGCCUGCGGUUUAAUCGGACUCAACGCCGGAAAUCUCACCGGAUAAGACAGCUGGAUGAUAGUCGGGCUGAAGACUCUACUUGACUAGCUGAGAGGAGGUGCAUGGCCGUCGUCAGUUCGUACUGUGAAGCA
rnacentral:rRNA from 1 species